UGGGAUGUAGCUCAGUGCUAAAGCACUUGCCUAGCACGUGCAAGACCCUGUGUUCCAUCCCCAGCACCCCGC
rnacentral:tRNA from 1 species